UGCCCGGCGCCCGCCGCCCGGUAGCGUUUUGACGCUUUGUCGCUUUGUCUCAUUCCCUCAUUGUCUAUUCAGUAUUCACCGUCGUCUCGUCUCCUUUUCUCUACUAGUCUACAGCCAUGGGUUAGGAGUCUGCUGUCAUGACUCAUGAUACGAAAUUAAAUAUUUUUAAACGUCGUCCCGUCUAAACCUUUCUUACAGUUUAAUAGCUUAUAACUUUUAAAUAUCUCCACAUCCUAAUAUCACUGUCAUAUAAUUUAUGAACAUAAUGUUAAGCAGUGCCAAUGAAGUGAACAAUUAUUUAAUACAAAAUUUAUAAACAUGGAUCGACUUCCUAGUGUCAUUUUAACGGCAUACCAAAUCAUUGAAAAAGAUUAUCUUCAUACAAAAAAUGAAAUGUUUGAUUAAUUGCAAAGUUUAAAGAAGCAAUGGAUAUAUUUUCAUGGAAAAAGAUUUCUUAGAUGUAGUUUUUAAAUGUUUGCUUAUAAACACUUAAGACCACAGACCCGACCAAUUUUAAGCCAACCAAUUUAAGAAGCGAGCAAAUCCACCUUAAUAUUGUAUUUCAAAUAUGCAGAUUAUGUGAUCCCAAUGAUGCCACUGUGUUAAGUUUCCGUGUUUACUUAUUACAACAUGUAAUUAACAACUCGAACGAGUUCAACGAAUUAAAAUAUAAUAUAACAACUCGAACGCUUGCUAAAAAUCUAGUCAUUAUUUGGCGUUUGGGCCAAUUAAACAAACUAAUUAAUGUAUAAUUUAAUAUAAUUAGAACUAUUAUAUACAACUAUCAAAUAUUGAUGAGAAAAUGUGAAAUACAUAUUAUGAAAUGACCUUAUAGUGUAUAUUAAAGGUACCUAUGAAUUAUAUAAUAAAUUAAUAUUUACUUAAAAUCUUCCUUUGUUAUAUUGUAAAAAUGUUUUAACAAAAUAAUCUAUGUAGGUAUAGCAGUUCUGUUUCUAACAGCAAUAUGAUUUCCAAAAAUUGGUAUAAUAAAAUAUGAAUUUUGAGAACUAUUUGUGUAGUUGGAUGUCCAGGUGUUAUUAUUUAAUCCCUUGUGUAUUUCUUCCGAAACGUUUCAAAAUCGAUGCAAACUGGCGGCUGAAAAGAUGCCUUUGUCAACGAUCAAAUUUGUUCUUUUGUGAUAGAUUCAGGUAAAAAUUCCAUCUAUUGUAGUUAGAGACCUUAAAAUCAGGGCAUUCUAUAGUGGUGAACACUGAACAUGUGUGUAAGCCCGGGUAAAAACUAAAUGUUAGGAUACUUAUUAUUUACAUUUUGGGUUUCUUCAUAAUCGUUAAAAUUGUUCGAGUACGAAAUAUCCGGCAUUGUGUAUUUAACAGCGUGGGCAAGUUACUAGAAGAUGCUUUGUCAUUAACAUUAUAUAUUAUAUAAACAUUAUGAACUCGAACAAAAAAAUAGAAUUAUUUCUUUGUAGUUCUUUUUAGAUUUUCAUAUAAGUAUUUUUGUAUGUAUUAUAAUUGUAUAUAAAAUAUUUACAUUUUGUGUAGUUGACUAUUUAUUUGAUCGUAUUUAGAUGGUGGAAGGUUCCUAUUUUUCUUUGUAUGAGAUAUUUGAAGAUAAUACAAUUAUAUUUAGUUUAAUUUUCUCUAAUCGGUUGCAUCUAACGGUCUUAACUGGUCCGUAUUUACUAGUUUGUAAUAAGUAAUAACUUUUAUGUUUGGAAAGUACAAAAUAAUGAUAAAACUUAGUUAAAAUAAACAUCGAUUCGGUUAUCUGUUAAAAAUAUUCUUGUUUAAGAUGCUCGUGCUUAAUUAUAUUAAAUUGUCUUAUAACUUAUUUAUAAUCAUUAAUAAAAAUAAUGAAACAUCGGACAUAAUAAUAUAAAUCUAUUAAUAUGCUACAGAUUAAAAUGUAAUAGCUGAUAAGUAAUUUCUAAUUUAUUUUGAAUAAUUAAAAAAAUAAAAUAUAGGCGAAAAAUUGUACACAGUUAUAAAUUCGAAUUAAACAAAAAGUAUCAUAUCUUAUAAUAUCUAUCUAUUAAUUUAUUGUAUGUUAUACCGAUUAUUACAAUAGUAUACAAUAUUAUUAAACUCUUAAGGUAUUUACACUAUUGCAGUAUAGCUAUUAUUUUUCCGAGAAAAUAUAUCUCAUAUUUUAUAACCUACUUGAAUACCAAAAAUUUUCCAAAUAAUAUUCUAUGACAUUUUAUAUUGUUUGCUUGAGUUAGGUGUAUUGACUAUUCAACUAUUGUAAUAUAUUUUUUUGUAAUUAUAUUUAUUAUACCUAUUUGGUUUUAGCAUAGGAUCCAUAUUUAAUUUUUAUUGUUGCAAGAUUUAAUUAUCUUUUUUCUACAUAGUUGUAAAUAACAUGAAUAUUCUGUGUUAAAAUAUUACACAUUUACUACACGUCAUAGGGUUUAUUCGGAAAUAAUUCAUUUUUUAUAUUUUAUCAUUUUACGUGAACAGAUAGACAGCAUUACUAAAAUCCGAGGAUCGGCUGUUACGUUUUAGACAAACUAAACAAAGUCUGUGACGUAAUUUCUUUCUAAAAUAUUGUUAGGUAUUGGUAGUUGUGGCUUCGAGGAGAGAGAUGAGGAGAUACUGCAUGGCUGCAGCAUGUACGAGUAGUUUCGCAGUCGCACGCCUGUCGCCUGUAUGAAACUAAAGUUCUCGAAGUAUUCGAAAAAAAAAAUAAUCAUAUUUAGUCGGUCGGUCUGUCUGUCGGCUGUCCGUCCGUCGGUCGCGCGUCAAUCCCUGGAAUCAUCGUCGUUGCCGCCGCCGUCCGUUCGAUUCCAGUCCGUAGUCGUCGGUUGUGGCAACACUGCGAGCGCGACGCGUCUGUAUUGUGCGUUCCCUCGCGCGCGAGCCUGCCGCGCCGUUCGUCGUGUUGUGUUGUUACCUGGUGCAUGUGUGCGUGUGCGCGCCGUGUGUUGCGGGGCGAGACCGGUUUGGCGUCAUUCGCGAACACCGCAGACAAGGAGCAUUUGACCAUGAUUUGUGCCGGGCUGAGGUCGUUUCUUCUCACCCAUUGUCUUCGUAGACCUUCAAGGACUCCGCUGCCGUCUCUGCAACCACCUGUCCGUCAUAAUAUUGAACAUGGUAUAUUUUCUUUUAUUAAUAUUUUCUAUUUUUAUUACGUUUCUCUGCACUCAUGUCUCAGUACAGUAUGUUAAAAUAGUAUUGUAUGGUUUUAUUAUUUUUUCUUUCUUAUUACUUCGGGUCACUGAAAAAAAUAAUUGUUUACAUUACCUUUAAGUCAGUGCACGUCGACAACAUUAAUGAUUUUAUCAUUUCAACCCCUUCCGAGAGCUUUGCGUCUCAUCAUUAGAUAUGAAGAAAUUACAAAUAAUUAAUUCCGUAAUUUAUACUAUUAUGACUUAUGGGAUACUGGAUUACCUAGCAAUAUUAUAUGAAAUACAAAAGCAGUUAAAGCUGUACCAAUCUUUGUUAAGAGAUGUAAACGUUGAAUUAAACCAAUACAAUAAAAUUUUACAGCUGAGUUUAGAUGAACACUAAAUCACUGAUAACCACUAUACUUAUGGUCAAAUGUAUACAAUAGUUUCAAUAUGUGUGAACACUGUACAGACUAUGUUGGCCUGUCUUCUAAAAAGUCAUAUACCUACUAUUAAAUACUAGAAAGAAGCUUCACUGGUAAAUCUAAAUAUUUAUUAUAUUAAUGCCUUGGUUUUGUUUAAUGUUUCUAUAGUAUAAAUAAAAAAUAUCAAAUCCAUUUUAUAAUUUAAAAAUUGUUUUCAACCCUUAUUUAUCAUGAAAUAUAUGAUUUGAGUUACUUUUUUUUGGUUUUAUAUACCGAUAUGUUUUAAAAAAGAAGUAUUAAUAGAUUUUGAUUCUUGUCAGUAAUGAUUUCUCUAGUUUGUUGUUUAAAAAACUAUUUUUAACUGAUAAUUUAAGUUUUGUAAUCAAUCAUUUAUUUAUAAAUUUCAAUAAACCUGAUAAAUAUAAAUUUGUAAUUGUAAAGGAUUAAGAUAAUGUAUUUUUGAUGUUAAAUUACAUAAAAUUUGACUGGAAAAACAAGUUUUUGAAACAGCCAUGUAGUUACUGUAUUUCCUAUGAAUCAUAUUGUUAAUGUUUUUUUAUACUAAUUUUUAAUUAUAUUGUUAUUGUAAUAAUUUGUGUACAUUAUUAAUUGUCUAUUUUAUUAUCUAUUAAUUUCUAUUUGUAUACAUUUUUAUAUUACUAUUCAUGUAUAGUAUUGCUAUAGAUGGUACUUGAGAUUCUUACUGUAUUUCUAUGUAUGUUAAGUACUGUUUAUUUUUUAAUAAUUUUAGUAGUACUGGGUCUGAACAUAAGUCAUCUCAGUGUGACCAGGUGCGUCCCUGAGAGGGGGGCAAGAGGAUAAUCACCCCCUCCAUAAGUCGUAUGGUGUUACAUCCAACAUAUUAUUGGUUUAAGUUUUGUUUUACCAAAUUGAUACGUAAUAUUGAAAAAUUCCCCCCUCCCCCUUAAUGAAAUUGACCUGUAGACACUGAAAAAUUGAAUCUAUAUUUAUUGAUAUUUCAAAUUAUUAAUAAAAUCCUUAUUAACUUAAAAUAUAAUUCAUUAUAUUUAAAUAUAGUUAUCUAACACAGGUUUUUUGACUUUCGAAUUUAUAUGUUAUACAUGGUUUCCCAUGAUCUUAAUCUAACCUCUAUUAUUGAUGUUAAAUAAAUAAAUUAGGCAUAUAUUAUAAUUUUUAUUUAACACAAUUGUUUUUUCAUUGAUAGUUUUGUAAAUAUUUUUUUUUAUAACUUUUCCUUAGUUAUGUAUCUAAGUUGUGAAAAAAGAAUACCAUGUCAUAGUUCAAUAGUAUAAAUAUAAUAAUUAUUUU